GGGUAUAUAGCUCAGUGGUAGAGUGUGUGCUUAGCAUGCAGGAGGUCCUGGGUUCAAUCCCCAGUACCUCCA
rnacentral:tRNA from 1 species